rnacentral:tRNA from 1 species
AAGGGUAUAGCUCAGUGGUAGAGUGUGUACCUAGAAUGCACAAGGCCCUGGGUUCAAUCCCCAGUACCUCCA